GACGAACGCUGGCGGCGUGCCUAAUACAUGCAAGUAGAACGAGUUGCGAACGGGUGAGUAACGCGUGGUAACCUGCCUCAUAGCGGGGGAUAACUAUUGGAAACGAUAGCUAAUACCGCCUACCAUCGGAUGUGCCCAGAGGGGAUGAGCUAGUAGGUGGGGUAACGGCUCACCUAGGCGACGAUCCCUCGCUGGUCUGAGAGGAUGACCAGCCACACGGGAACUGAGACACGGCCAAGACUCCUACGGGAGGCAGCAGUAGGGAAUAUUGCACAAUGGGCGAAAGCCUGAUGCAGCAAUGCCGCGUGUAUGAAGAAGGUCUUCGGGUUGUAAAGUACUUUCAGCGAGGAGGCGUUACUCGCAGAAGAAGCACCGGCUAACUCCGUGCCAGCCGCCGCGGUAAUUC
rnacentral:rRNA from 1 species